rnacentral:rRNA from 1 species
GACGAAGGAUGCAAGCGUUAUCCGGAUUCAUUGGGUUUAAAGGGUCCGUAGGCGGUUUUGUAAGUCAGUGGUGAAAGCCCAUCGCUCAACGGUGGAACGGCCAUUGAUACUGCAAGACUUGAAUUAUUAGGAAGUAACUAGAAUAUGUAGUGUAGCGGUGAAAUGCUUAGAUAUUACAUGGAAUACCAAUUGCGAAGGCAGGUUACUACUAAUGGAUUGACGCUGAUGGACGAAAGCGUGGGGAGCGAACAGG